rnacentral:rRNA from 1 species
UACUGACACUGAGUGCGAAAGCGUGGGUAGCGAACAGGAUUAGAUACCUGGUAGUCCACGCCGUAAACGAUGACAACUAGCUGUUGGGAGACAAGAUCUCUCAGUGGCGCAGCUAACGCUUUAAGUUGUCCGCCUGGGGAGUACGGCCGCAAGGUUAAAACUCAAAUGAAUUGACGGGGACCCGCACAAGCGGUGGAGCAUGUGGUUUAAUUCGAUGCAACGCGAAAAACCUUACCUACUCUUGACAUACUUGGAAGCUCUUGUAAUGAGAGUGUGCUUUUAGAGCCAAGAUACAGGUGCUGCAUGGCUGUCGUCAGCUCGUGUCGUGAGAUGUUGGGUUAAGUCCCAUAACGAGCGCAACCCUUACCCUUAUUUGCCAGCGGUUCGGCCGGGAACUAUAAGGGGACUGCCGGUGACAAACCGGAGGAAGGUGAGGACGACGUCAAGUCAUCAUGGCCCUUACGAGUAGGGCUACACACGUGCUACAAUGGGGAAUACAGACGGACGCUAAAGCGUGAGCUGGUGCUAAUCCUAAAAAAUUUCUCGUAGUCCGGAUUGCAGUCUGCAACUCGACUGCAUGAAGUCGGAAUCGCUAGUAAUCGCGAAUCAGCAUGUCGCGGUGAAUACGUUCUCGGGUCUUGUACACACCGCCCGUCACACCAUGGAAGUGUGUUGCACCAGAAGUAGGUAGUCUAACCCUCGGGAAGGCGCUUACCACGGUGUGAUCCAUGACUGGGGUGAAGUCGUAACAAGGUAGCCGUAGGGGAACCUGUGGCUG